GGGGAAUAUUGCACAAUGGAGGAAACUCUGAUGCAGCAACGCCGCGUGAGUGAUGAAGGUCUUCGGAUUGUAAAGCUCUGUCUUCUGGGACGAUAAUGACGGUACCAGAGGAGGAAGCCACGGCUAACUACGUGCCAGCAGCCGCGGUAAUACGUAGGUGGCAAGCGUUGUCCGGAUUUACUGGGCGUAAAGGGAGCGUAGGUGGAUAUUUAAGUGAGAUGUGAAAGACCCGGGCUUAAAUGGGGCAGUGCAUUUCAAACUGGAUGUCUGGAGUGCAGGAGAGGAGAACGGAAUUCCUAGUGUAGCGGUGAAAUGCGUAGAGAUUAGGAAGAACACCAGUGGCGAAGGCGGUUCUCUGGACUGUAACUGACGCUGAGGCACGAAAGCGUGGGUAGCAAAC
rnacentral:rRNA from 1 species